rnacentral:rRNA from 1 species
CAAAGGGCACUCGACUUUUUUCUAUUAGGGUAACUACCGGAAAAGCUGUAGCUUAUACUUGCUUUAGCACUCUUGAUUCAUUUCUUGAGUGUGUACUUGUUAAGCCCUUUAAGAAAAAAGUUAUUAACUUAAGGAAUUAUAACAAAGAAAUGACACGUAAUGGAUCCCUCCAUUUUUAUUGUGUAUCAAUCGAGUAAAGU